CCUACGGGGGGCAGCAGUGAGGAAUAUUGGUCAAUGGACGAGAGUCUGAACCAGCCAAGUAGCGUGAAGGAUGACUGCCUUAUGGGUUGUAAACUUCUUUUAUAUGGGAAUAAAAUGUUCCACGUGUGGGAUUUUGUAUGUACCAUAUGAAUAAGGAUCGGCUAACUCCGUGCCAGCAGCCGCGGUAAUACGGAGGAUCCGAGCGUUAUCCGGAUUUAUUGGGUUUAAAGGGAGCGUAGGUGGAUUGUUAAGUCAGUUGUGAAAGUUUGCGGCUCAACCGUAAAAUUGCAGUUGAAACUGGCAGUCUUGAGUACAGUAGAGGUGGGCGGAAUUCGUGGUGUAGCGGUGAAAUGCUUAGAUAUCACGAAGAACUCCGAUUGCGAAGGCAGUUCACUGGACUGCAACUGACACUGAGGCUCGAAAGUGUGGGUAUCAAACAGGAUUAGAUACCCGAGUAGUC
rnacentral:rRNA from 1 species